UUACUACUCCCUCCGUUCUAAAUUACUCGUCGCAGAAAUGGAUGUAUCUAGAACUAAAAUACAUCUAGAUACAUUCAUACCUGCGACAAGUAAUUCGGAACGGAGGGAGUAGUUU
rfam:Triticum aestivum genome assembly, contig: Triticum_aestivum_CS42_TGACv1_scaffold_558337_7AL